rnacentral:rRNA from 1 species
AACGCUAGAUACAGGCUUAACACAUGCAAGUCGAGGGGAAACGACAUCGGAAGCUUGCUUUUGAUGGGCGUCGACCGGCGCACGGGUGAGUAACGCGUAUCCAACCUGCCCACCACUUGGGGAUAACCUUGCGAAAGUAAGACUAAUACCCAAUGACGUCUCUAGAAGACAUCUGAAAGAGAUUAAAGAUUUAUCGGUGAUGGAUGGGGAUGCGUCUGAUUAGCUUGUUGGCGGGGUAACGGCCCACCAAGGCGACGAUCAGUAGGGGUUCUGAGAGGAAGGUCCCCCACAUUGGAACUGAGACACGGUCCAAACUCCUACGGGAGGCAGCAGUGAGGAAUAUUGGUCAAUGGGCGAGAGCCUGAACCAGCCAAGUAGCGUGCAGGAUGACGGCCCUAUGGGUUGUAAACUGCUUUUAUAAGGGAAUAAAGUGAGCCUCGUGAGGCUUUUUGCAUGUACCUUAUGAAUAAGGACCGGCUAAUUCCGUGCCAGCAGCCGCGGUAAUACGGAAGGUCCGGGCGUUAUCCGGAUUUAUUGGGUUUAAAGGGAGCGUAGGCCGGAGAUUAAGCGUGUUGUGAAAUGUAGAUGCUCAACGUCUGCACUGCAGCGCGAACUGGUUUCCUUGAGUACGCACAAAGUGGGCGGAAUUCGUGGUGUAGCGGUGAAAUGCUUAGAUAUCACGAAGAACUCCGAUUG